GGCAUCUCCUUGAUUUCAUGUACAAUCGUAGACUUUGCAGCAACAGCAGCUUGAAAACUUCGCAGCUGCUCAUCUUCUUCAUCAGCCACUUGCUUCUCAUAUUCUCUCCUUGACAUUUCAAGCUUCUCAAGAAACUCGGUCUCGUCCUCAUCUAAGGCUUUGGGUGGUUGGUGUUUAAAGCGUUCAUUAAAUUCAGCAUCUUUCUUGUCCUUGUUCUCCUUCAAGAUCUCAUAAAGAGGGCGAUCUCUCUGAGCAGUUCCAUCUUCAACCCGAGCACCCCGAGUUUUCUUGGAUUCUGCCAACUGUUCUUCGGAGACAAAAUUCAUCAACCUCACCGGAGGUGGAAAAUCCUCGUCCGCCAUUGUAGUUACACCGCUAAGUCGGAGUUCGAGUGCAGAGGUGAAGUGUGUAUAUUAGUAGCAAUAGAGAUGCUUUGAAGCAACUGUGUUUU
rnacentral:misc_RNA from 1 species